rnacentral:rRNA from 1 species
GACAGAGGGUGCAAACGUGUUCGGAAUUACUGGGCGUAAAGCGUGUGUAGGCGGCUAUGUAAGUCGGAUGUGAAAGCCCCGGGCUCAACUCGGGAAGUGCACUCGAUACUGCGUAGCUAGAGUACCGGAGAGGUUGGUGGAAUUCUCGGUGUAGAGGUGAAAUUCGUAGAUAUCGAGAGGAACACCGGUGGCGAAGGCGGCCAACUGGACGAGUACUGACGCUGAGACACGAAAGCGUGGGGAGCAAACAGG